GGCAAACCGGGCACGGUAAAGGCUGAACGACUUGACAGAUGAGCAAUUGCUCAAGAUAUUUGACUCAGUUCCUUCGGAUGAAGAAGUGUGAGCUCAAGUGACGACGAGGAUGACGACUUUGAUAUAAUGAAGGCUCUUAAUACUGCCUUUAGGGAUGCUGAGACAAUAUCAUUUAUUGAGACUAAUGUUGAAACAAUGCACAGGAAGCUAAGACUUCCCAGAAAACUCCGAAAAGGCAGCGAUCACCAUUACCAAUCGUUGAAGAUUCGGCGUGCCCAUCUCCUCCAAUUUCUGAUGGUUUCAAUGGAGCUGGUAUUGAAACAAUAACGAAAAAUUCGAGUAAGAUUCUAGGGUGAGAGUUGCAUGUCAACAAUGUAGCAUUUCGAGAUAAUUUUUCGCUGCCAGCAGAAAUACAUGAGCUUGAAACUCCUCUACAGCUCUUUUGCUAUUUCUUCAAUGCGCAAAUCAUAAAUAUGAUCGUCGACGAAACCAUGGGCGCAACUUUAAAGGAGGACAUUAACAAUAAGUUUAAAAUUAAUUCUGAUGAGGUGUACCAUUACAUAGGUAUUUUGAUACUCAUGUCCAUUUAUCGCUACCCAAAUCUGAAGAGCUACUGGGGACAAGCAGAUUCGAGGCAACCAAAAAGUACUUUUCACUACGUGAUGAGCACGAACCGAUCAAAAAGGGUGAGCCAGGCUACGAUCCUUUGUUCAGUACGCGAAAAUGAGUAGACUGUCUCAACAAACGAUUUGACCCGGUGCCAAAGUAUGCCCGCCUUUGUGAGGAAGAGCAAAUCUGCAGCACAAAAAUGAAGCACCACCUGCGUCAGUACAUGCCAAAUAAGCCGCACAAGAGGGGCAUUAAACUAUUUGUAUUGUGCGUUUCAUUUGGAUACGCAUACCGCUCACAUGGGCGGCGUUGAUCUCAUGGACGGCCUAAUGGGACGCUAUAAUAUCAGAGCAAAGACUCGGAAUGCCGCAACACAAAUUUUUUAUCACCUAAUUAAUAUGGCAGCCACCAACGCCUACAUUUUACACAGACGUAUCCAAACAGAAAACGAAAGCCAAGAAAAAUUACUCGCACUCCCAGACUUUCGCGAAACACUAUCCGCAGGGCUGGUGACAUAUAAAAACAAAAAACCCGAGGGUAUAAUGAAGUCAGAAGUUCGCAAAGCAUAAAAGCUAAGUAAAAAAAAAGGCCAGCACGUCACCCGGAGAAGGAGUUAUUUGGACACAAAUCUCGCACACCAAAAAGACGAGCCAGCCACGUCAGGCAUGUACAAAAAGAGGCAAGGUAUAAUUGGGAACAACCACACAAAUAUAUUGGCACCAAACAUAAAUAUCGAAUUUAUGAUACGAGAAUAAAGAAAAUCAAAGACAAAAUAUUAUAAAAAUGUAAACAAAAUGCAUUAAGCAGAAGCAAUUGUGUAUUUGUCAAGGAUAUUAAAGGCAAAUUCGAAACAGCUAAAGGAGAAUCUUUGAUGCAAACCGCAUCUGCACAAUGUCUUAAAGACAAGUUUUAAAAUAAACUACCAAAGACGACAAACAUACCUUAAACGUAAUAAAGAGGAUUUCAGACUCAAAAGGUUUAAACUUUUAAUUACAGACUUAAUCUUAAAUUUUCGGAUUUGCAACACAAAUGAAAGAAAAUGGUUAUUACUUGAAUGAACAAAUAAAAUCAUUGUGGCACUAGGAAGGUGUGCGAUGGCGACUACUAUAUAUACACGAAGAAAUGAAAAUCUAAACUAAUCGUCCCAUUGUUUGGAGUUGCAAAUCAAUCGAAAGGUAGUGCAAAAACUAAUAGAAAUACAUACCCAAAACUUAAAAAAAACCUUGGACAAAAAUCGCUGAUAUUUAAAAUUUGGAAAAUUUGAUGUGUUGGGGCCGGUGAGGAUGAGUACUCCCCGCGAUCAACCUAGUUAUAUUAUCACUUAAAAUGCACGAAUAACACCUCAACUGUCAAAAUCGGGUGCUCCGUUCAAAAGUAAUACUCAAAACAACAUUUUCGGGGUACUCUCAAAAUGAUAAUUUUAUUUUGGUUGUUAGUUUGUCUCAAAAUGUUAUUUUAGAGUCCUAAAAUUUUUAGACGAUGUUUAACAUCGUCUCAAUAUAAAAAACAUUAUUUCUCCCCCUUUUUGAUAAACUAGUUAUUUUGGCGAGAAAACAGAUAUAAAAAGCUAAUUUUUUGUAUACCUGUAACUUGAAAGGUACAGAAGCUUGUAAAAAUACCCGUUCAAAGUUAUAAAUCACCAGUUCAGAGUAUCUUUUACUGCCUGAGCAUUAACCUUUUCUUUGUUGCGUAUCCAAAGUCUAUUGGAAGGUCCGGGGAAUUAAGGAUGAUGUUAAACAGCUCAAUAUAAAAACGUUAGUUUUACCACUUUUGGAAAAAAUAGCUAGUUUGGAAAGAAAACUGCUAUAUAUUGCUUAAUUUUGUACAACAGUAACUUAUAAACUACUAAAGCUAGAUGAUUUGUGGCAUUUACCACCGUUUAAAAAUUAUGGGCAAAGGAUUUGUUUCUAAUUUUUUUUAAGCUAUUUCUCUGAUUUUCGAAAACUGCUCAACGGAUUUCAGGUAAAAUUUUAA